rnacentral:snRNA from 1 species
GAACUUUGGCAAUACAUAGACUAAAAUUUGAAUGGUACAGAGAAAAUUAGCUUGGCCUCUGUGCAAAGAUGAUGCGCAAAUUUCUGAAGGGUUCCAAAUCUGA